GGAACGUGUCUCUGUGUUGUCUAGAUGUCUAUCAGGAUUGUGUCUCUGUGUUGUCUAGAUGUCUAUCAGGAUUGUGUCUCUGUGUAACCACCUGACCAGGAUGAUGAGAAAAGGGCAGGAACAACAACAGGACCAGAGGAGCUGUGACAGCGACAACGAGGAAGAGACCAGGAAGACGAGACUACAGACCAGGAAGAGGAGUAACACUUCCUGAAGACAACAACCAAUCAAAACGCCACCGUUCCUCCAUUCCACUUCCUGAAGACAACAACCAAUCAAAACGCCACCGUUCCUCCAUUCCACUUCCUGAAGACAACAACCAAUCAAAACGCCACCGUUCCUCCAUUCCACUUCCUGAAGACAACAACCAAUCAAAAACGCCACCGUUCCUCCAUGCCACUUCCUGAAGACAACAACCAAUCAAAACGCCACCGUUCCUCCAUUCCACUUCCUGAAGACAACAACCAAUCAAAAACGCCACCGUUCCUCCAUUCCACUUCCUGAAGACAACAACCAAUCAAAAACGCCACCGUUCCUCCAUUCCACUUCCUGAAGACAACAACCAAGCACCAUUUAAAUCCAGUUGUCUAUGAAGUUAUAGGUCUUUUCUCAGUGAAAGGUCAUAGACAUGAAGUCUUUUUUUUAAAAUGAUACUUCUGUAUAUGACGGGAAAUACAAGACAGCAGAAUGAAUCAAAUCAAAUCAAAUCAAAUCAAAUGUAUUUAUAUAGCCCUUCGUACAUCAGCUGAUAUCUCAAAGUGCUGUACAGAAACCCAGCCUAAAACCCCAAACAGCAAACAAUGAAUCCGUUUGUGUUCUUACUGUAUUUUACAUCAGUGUUGCAUGUAUAAAACGUGUUUUCCUAUUAGAUUAUGUGUCACGCCCUGUUUAUUCUCUACGUUGGUCGGGGCGUGACAGUGACUAGGGUGGGUUAUCUAGGUGAUUAAUGAUUUAUGUUGGCCCGGUAUGGUUCCCGCAUUCAGAGGCAGCUGUUUAUUCGUUGUCUCUGAUUGGGGGGGGAUCAUGUUUAGGCAGCCAUUUCCCCUUUGUGCUUUGUGGGAUGUUGUCUAGGUAUAGUUGUCUCUGAUUGGGGGGGGGAUCAUGUUUAGGCAGCCAUUUCCCCUUUGUGCUUUGUGGGAUGUUGUCUAGGUAUAGUUGCCUCUGAGCUUCACGUUUCCGUUUUUUUCUUCUUCUCUUUAUUGUUUUGUUUUUCUUUUAAAGUUUAUUUUUCAAAAUAAAAGGAUGGAAACACCACGCUGCAUCUUGGUCCGCUCGUUAUAACGAUCGUGACAUUAUGUUUAACCUGUGUAUGCAUUCACUAUACUGGCUAUUGCCAUUUCCUUACAUAAAUCUACCACCACUUUUCAACGUGUGAUUUAUGGGGAAUUCAUCAAUAUUUCAUGUAUUUUUCUGAUUUGUAAACUAUAUUAUGAAACCCUACAACCCAAACCAAUCCCUAAUUGCUGUAACAAUAACAAUAAAUAUGACUAUAAAUCUU